rnacentral:lncRNA from 1 species
AUAUCCUACUACAUUUCUGCUAUUAUAAAACAGGAAGCAAAGAAAAACCCACUGAUGUUAAAGA